rnacentral:lncRNA from 1 species
GCAGGUUCGGCGGCACCUUCGGCGGCCGAACCUCCCAGACAGAUCCGAAAGUCUUCUUUCGGGGGCAAGCUUCGGCAGCCGAAUGCUGCCUCCACAAGGGGGUUUGGCGGCCGAAACUCCCUUCGGCGGCCGAACCUGGUUUCUGCCAGAAGGGCAGAAACUUGGUUCACAUGAACCCCUUGCCUCCCAAAACCUCAAAUCAUGCAUAAAUCUUAACCAAAACAUGCAUACAAGUUCCUAGGGGUCUCAAACAGUCAUAUACCCCAACUACAACACUUCAAACACACACAAUCAACACACAUUGUUCAAAACAU